AAAAAGAUAAGCUAAAAAAAGCUAAUGGGUUCAUAACCCACUUAUGAAUAAAAUUUUCUCUUUUUA
rnacentral:tRNA from 1 species